CGGAGGUGAUGAUUUGGGAGAGGAGGCAUCGGUUCAGAGUAAGCGUGUUGCUCUUCAGAAAAAGGCUGCUGCUGCUAUGGUUGCUGCUGAGGAUUAUGCCCGCCGGUUUGAGUCUGAUAUGGCGGUUGCCUCAAAAGAUACUGCUGGAGAUGAGCAAGGUCUGUCUAACGCGAAUAUAAUGUGCCGAAUGUGCUUUUUGGGUGAAACUGAAGGAAGUGAGAGGGCAAGGAGGAUGCUUUCCUGCAAAAGUUGUGGCAAGAAGUACCAUAGAAGCUGUUUGAAAGCAUGGGCUCAACAUAGAGAUUUAUUUCACUGGAGUUCGUGGACCUGUCCGUCUUGCCGAAUCUGUGAGAUAUGCCGAAGAACUGGG
rnacentral:misc_RNA from 1 species